GUCAUGGAAAAUAUUUGUUAGCAUUAGCCAAAACUGAUUAGCUGAAGUCACACCAAAGCAACAGACGACAGAGGAUUCAACUUGCUCUUAAAACCCUUUUCAAUAGGUUGUUUUCACUAUUUAUAAUCGCAAAGCAGUCGAAAUAGGACAAAUGAGCUCAUGUAUGGGACAAAUUCUGGACAUCGUCAGUGAGGGGUGGUCUUGGAACCACCUGAACAUUUUCUUAAUACAUUCCAUCGCAACAACACAAUUUAAAUACCUUCAUCCAUCUAAUUUUUUAAAAUCUUGUCAUAUGUUUGCUUUUAUGACCGUUGAAUAUCCUGCGCACAAAUGUGUUUUAUUUUCAUCAGGCGAUGGGGACAUAGAGACAGUGGACAAUCCUUGGUUAAAGUCAGCCAGACUGCAGCCCUGAUGCACAAGUGCUGCACUGUGGAAUCAGUAUUCCGAGCUGGUUCCUAUGGACACAGCAUUCUUAAAGCCAGCAACAUCAUCACCAGACUCCUGAACAGAAGACAAACAGGCCCUGCGCGUGCUUUCUCGCUGCCCCACUAGAGGGCGAGUGGUGCACAACCGCAGGACCGCCUGUCUACAUGUGGAGAUAGACACACACACAAACACAGGGAACGAAGGACUGGUCAUCGCGCUGAGCAGUGGGUGAUAAAACUACUAAUUAGCCACAGGCUGUUCAUCUUUUCCAUUUAUAGCUGACAGUAUGUGCCUCUUGGACAAUGAAGAGGAUCAUAGGAGAAGGAAAUGCUCACCUGCAGACACGAAGAGGAUUCCUGCACUGAGGAUGAUAUUGUGGCGGGACUUGUAGAACUCGCUGGCAGCUAU